GCAUUUUAGCUCAGUUGGUUAGAGCAUGGUGCUAAUAACACCAAGUUCACAGGUUCAAUCCCUGCUUACUGCA
rnacentral:tRNA from 1 species